GAAAGCUUCGGGCAGACGAGAAGUACCUAAGUGGCGAACGGGUGAGUAACGCGUGGGUAACCUGUCUUAAUGACCGGAACAACAGCCGGAAACGGCUGCUAAUGCCGGAUAACCUUAUCAGUUGGCAUCGAUUGAUAAGCAAAGGUGGCCUCUCCAUGGAAGCUACCGCAUAGAGGUGGACCCGCGUCUGAUAAGCUAGUUGGUGGGGUAACGGCCUACCAAGGCGACGAUCAGUAUCCGGCCUGAGAGGGUGAACGGCCACUCUGGGACUGAGACACGGCCCAUACUCCUACGGGAGGCAUCAGUGGGGAAUUUUCCGCAAUGGGCGAAAGCCUGACGGAGCAACGCCGCGUGUAUGAUGAAUGCCUUCUGGUUGUAAAAUACUGUUGUUUGGGAAGAAGAGCGUAUAUGUAAAUAAUGUAUACGAGUGACGGUACCAAACGAUGAAGCCCCGGCUAACUACGUGCCAGCAGCCGCGGUAAU
rnacentral:rRNA from 1 species